rnacentral:rRNA from 1 species
CCUACGGGUGGCAGCAGUGGGGGAUAUUGCACAAUGGGGGAAACCCUGAUGCAGCGACGCCGCGUGGGCGAAGAAGUAUUUCGGUAUGUAAAGCCCUAUCAGCAGGGAAGAAGAAAUGACGGUACCUGAGUAAGAAGCACCGGCUAAAUACGUGCCAGCAGCCGCGGUAAUACGUAUGGUGCAAGCGUUAUCCGGAUUUACUGGGUGUACAGGGAGCGCAGGCGGCAGGGCAAGCCAGAUGUGAAAGCCCGCGGCUCAACCGCGGGACUGCAUUUGAAACUGCUGGGCUGGAGUGCGGGAGAGGUAGACGGAAGUCCUAGUGGAGCGGUGAAAUGCGGAGAGAGUAGGAGGAAGACCAGUGGCGAAGGCGGCUGGCUGGACAGCAACUGACGUUGAGGCGCGAAAGCGUGGGGAGCAACCAGGAGUAGAGACCCGGGUAGUC